rnacentral:lncRNA from 1 species
GGCAUGGUGGCUCAUGCCUAUAAUCGCAGCACUUGGGAGGCUGACGUGGGUGUUCACCUGAGUUCAGGAUUUUGAGAACAGCCUGGCCAACAUGGUGAAACUCAGUCUCUACUAAAAGUACAAAAUUAGGCGUGGUGGCAGACACCUGUAAUCCCAGCUACUCGGGAGGCUGAGGCAGGAGACUCACUUGAACCCGGGAAGUGGAGGUUGCAGUGAGCCAAGAUCUCACCACCUCACUCCAGCCGGGGUGACAGAGCAAGACUCUGUCUCAAUCAAUCAAUUUUUAAAAGAAAGCGAUUUGAGAUGUAUUUAGGAGCUUUCCAUGUUAAUGUACCAAAGGAACUCUUUCCGCCUGUAGCAUACAUCGGUGAACAGCAUGAGGGGCACUUAGGAAAGUGUGGCCUAUAGAGAAAGCAGCCUGGCCUCUGCUCUUAGGACCUGAAACUUUCUGGUACUUUUGGUAUUUGGAUAUUGCCCCUUGGCCAUAGAAAAUCCUGGGGACCCUGUGAAGUAUAUAUGUCUGGUCUUUGGAGUGUGGUAUUCAGGUGGCUGCUUUAGAGGGUAAGGUUUAUUCUAUUUUUUCGUUUUUUUUUUUUUUUUUGAGAUGGAGUCUCGUUCUGUUGCCCACGUUGGAGUGUGGUGGCGCAGUCCUGGCUCACUGCAGUCUUCGCCUCUUGGGUUCAAGUGAUUCUCCCUGCCUCAACCUCCCAAGGUGCUGGGAUUACAGGUGUGCGCCACCACGCCCGACUAAUUUUUGUAUUAGUAGAGAUGGGGUUUUGCCAUGUUGACCAGGCUCAUCUUGAAUUCCUGACCUCAGGUGAUCCUCCUGCCUUGGCUUUCCAAAGUGUUGGGAUUACAGGUGUGAGUUACUGCCUCUGGCGUAGAGUACGGUUUAUUCUUAGGAGUAAUCAUUGGCACGUGUGUCCUUGCAAAAGCCAAGGCCUAGUUGCUAAUACAGGUAACCUUAGGACUGUCACUUCCUUGCUUUAUACAAUGUUUCUACAGUUAAUAUUAAAUAACGUAAGGCAGAGAAUGUCUGUCCCUCCAUGUUUAGAUGAAACUGGUCCAUUUGCUUCUAAGUGUUCUUGCCUAUUUAUGUUUUUAUUUAUAAAUGUACAACUCCUUCUUUGCUUAGGAUCAAAGAUGAGGAAGAAGAGACAGUCUUUCGAGAGGUGGUCAGUUUUUCCCCGGACCCCCUGCCAGUUAGAUAUUAUGACAAGGACACCACCAAACCUGUCAGCUUUUACUUGUCUUCGCUGGAGGAACUCUUGGCGUGGACGCCCCGCAUGGAGGAUGGCUUUAACGUGGCCCUGGAGCCCCUGGCGUGUCGCCAGCCCCCUCUGAGCAGCCAGAGGCCCCGGACUUUGUUGUGUCAUGACAUGAUGGGGGGAUAUCUGGACGACAGGUGAGGACCUGGCCUUACAUUGAUUGUUUUUCUUUGCUGGAGUGGGGGCUGGAGGGGCAGGAGAGAGUGCUAUGUGUAGAAAGAGCACUGGGCGGGGAGUCAGGAGACGGGCAUUGGAGGGACUGCACUAACUGCGAGAGGAAGGCAGGCCCCAGUGUUUCAUCCGUAAAACGGGAAGAUUGGGCUGGGCUCGGCCCAGCACUUUGGGAGGUCAAGGCAGGGGGAUCACCUAAGGUCAGGAGUUUGAGACCAGCCUGGCCAACAUGGCGAAACUCUGCCCCUACUAAAAAUAGAAAAAUUAGCCAGGCGUGGUGGUAGGUGCCUGUAAUCCCAGCUACUUAGGGGGUUAAUGCAGGAGAAUUGCUUGAACCAGGGAGGCAGAGAUUGCAGUGAGCCAAGAUUGCACCACUACACUCCAGCCUGGGCAACAGAGUGAGACUCUGUCUCAAAAAAAAAAAAAAAAAAAAAAGAAAAUGGGUUUAGGAGGGGUUUUUUUCCCUUUUCCGCCCUAAAAUCUUUUGACCCCUU